GGUGUAGCCCAGAAGAGAGUGAUGGCGGCGCCGCCCAAUGGACGCGUGGGUGGAAGGGCCCGAGCCUCCUCAUCCACCCCCUCCUUCCGCCCCCCACUUGUGCAUGCCUCUGCCCCCCCGGGCCGCGGAACUCUCCUGGGGCGACCCCGAGUCCCACCCCGCUGCUCCGUGCCGUCCUCGCAGCUCGAGCCCUCCUCCAGCCCAGCAGUGCUCCCGCAGCGUCUGGCCGCUGGUCGUCGGCAGACGAAAGGGCUUGAACCGCGGCUGACCUUAGCCUUUGUCCCUCGGCCUAGUUCCGCAGCUGCCGUCGAGGCCGCCAGCCCCUCCCCCAGCAUGUUUGGGCUAAGCCGCCUCCUUUCCGCCUGCGUUGGAGAGAGAGGUACCAGAAGGAAUGAAAGGACUGGGGCUUGUCUCCAUGGCAACUGAAAGAAAGAGAGAAAAAUUGGUCACCUCCAGGACUGAGACCCUGACCCUUCCAAGCAUCCCCACUACCAAAGGCUGCCCAAGCCCGGAAGGAUCCCAUCCCGUUCUGUACUCUGAGGUCACUUCCUCACUCCGUCAAAUUUCACUGGACUGUGGGCUAAUUAAAAGUGCCUCCGUAUUAGCGGGGCGUGGUGGCCCAUGCCUAUAAUCCCAGCUACUUGGGAAGCUGAGGCAGGAAAAUUGCUUGAACCCGGGUGGCGGAGGCUGCAGUGACCCAACAUUGUGCAACAAGAGCGAAACUCCGUCUCAAAAAAAAUAAAAAAUAAAAAAGAGUGCCUCCCUGGGGAGACUGUAAUGCCCACUGGGCAGUGAUCCUAAUGCCCCUUGGGCAGUGAUCCUUAUUCCCCUCUCCCAUAAUGAUUGGUUGUAGCAGGCUGAACAAAAAGGUUGAGCUUCGCUUGUGCUUGCUGAAUAGAAUUCUCACGCCCACUCCACGUUAGCUCCCCUCACUGUAGGACUAGCUCUGAAAAUUCUAGCUCCUGUAGGAAGCCAACACAGACGGAUCUACAAGAACCAAAAACAGCUAUAGCUACUCUUCUAAAUCUCAGUGCCUGACAUUGCCUCUCUUUCUGCCUCCUCUCUCCACCCCCCAAAAAAUGUGGUCCUCCUUGACCUGAGGGAGCUUCCGUCCAAGUCUGAGCUCUGAUCAUCCUGAAGAAUCAAAGUAUCAUCAUCCCUUGGCUGGCAAGAUGAACUCCAACAUCAAAACACUUGAAACAGUAGUAUUUUUACACAAUUUGCCCACUGCCUCUACAUCUCACUUAGUCCUUGCAGUAACAUUUGGAUGAUGAGGUAACUUAUCCAGAAGCACAAAGCCUAAAGAAUGACAGAGCUUGGACUCCUGAGAAGUUCAGCUACUGCCCGCCUUAUGAUAACCAAAAGAAAGCGGCCGGGCGCAGUGGCUCAACUCCUGUAAUCCCAGCACUUUGGGAGGCCGAGGCGUGCGAAUCACAAGGUCAGGAGUCCGAGACCAGCCUGGCCAACACAGGGAAACCCCGUCUCUACUAAAAAAAACAAACACAAAAAUUAGUUGGGCGUGGUGGUGGGCACCUGUAAUCCCAGCUACUUGGGAGGCUGAGGCAGGAGAGUCACUUGAAUCCGGUAGGCGGAGGUUGCAGUGAGCCGAGAUCGUGCCACUGCACUCCAGCCUGGGAGACAGUGAGACUCCGUCUCUAAAAAAAAAUGAAUAAAUAAAUAAGAAGGCACACCACAAGUUCGAGACCACUUCUACAAAAAAUAAAAAAUAAAAAAAAUUAGGCCAGGCACAGUGGCUCAUGCCUGUAAUCCAAGCACUUUGGGAGGCUGAGGCGGGCGGAUCACUGGAGGUCAGGAGUUUCAGACCAGCCUGGCCCAACAUGGUGAAACCCUGUCUCUACUAAAAAUACAAAACUUAGCUGGGCGUAGUGGUGCGUGCCUGUAAUCCCACUUACUCCAGAAGCUGAGGCAGAAGAACUGCUUGAACCUGGGAUGCAGAGGUUGCAGUGAGCUGAGAUUGCACCACUGCACUCCAGCCUGGGCAACAGAGUGGGACUCUGCCUCAAAAAAAAAAAAAAAAAGAAAAUGAAGAUGACCAAAUGGGCUUCUAGAUGGCUAAUGAUAUUCUGUUUCUUUGAUCUGGGUGGGGGUUACAUGGGUGUGUUCCCUUUGUAAUAUGUUAUCAAGACAUUUUGUGCACUUUUUUGGGUAUUAUACUGAAAGAAAACAUUUAUUUUUUAAAAAGUUGAAAAAUUGCCUUGGAGCAGAGUAAGGUAAAUCUAUGAUUAAGCUUAGAUUUUUUUAUUUUUUAUUUUUUAUUUUUUUUCAAAAAAAAUGAGGCCAGGCGCGGUGGCUCACGCCUGUAAUCCCAGCACGUUGGGAGGCCGAGGUGGGCAGAUCACGAGGUCAGGAGGUCGAGACCAUCCUGGCUAACACGGUGAAAUCCCAUCUCUACUAAAAAUACAAAAAAUUAGCCAGGCAUGGUGGCAGGCACCUGUAGUCCCAGCUACUCGGGAGGCUGAGGCAGGAGAAUGGCAUGAACCUGGGAGGCAGAGCUUGCAGUGAGCCAAGGUCACGCCACUGCACUCCAGCCUGGGUGACAGAGCAAGACUCGUCUCAAAAAAAAAAAAAAAAGUAAAAUGAACCUAACAAGAGGCAUCCUUUCUCUGUGGUUAUUAUAGUGAGAACUAAGUUCUUUAUCACUCUCCGGUUAUUUACCCCUAGAGAGAAGCCAACUUUCUGGUUGUAUACACCAGAAUAAGUACAAGAAUGGUAAGCAUAGAGCUUCAGAGAAACUAGCCAGAUUCUAAAGGAAUGACUUGAAAAUCGAGAGCCGUUUCAAUGACAAAACAUCAUACAAAAUAUUCAUCUACCACAUUAGAGGCCUAUCGCUAGGUAAAAACACCAAAACUUCAGCUUAAACAGUAGUAUGUAUGUAUGUAUUAUCCCAGUUUCUGUGAGUCAGGAAUUCAGGAUUGAUAAGCUGGGUGGUUCUUGUUCAGAAUCUUUCAAGAGGUUGCAGUCCUCUGAAAGUGUAGUGGGUUGGGGUAUCCACUUCCAAGGUGGCUUGCUCAUAUGGCUGGCAAGUUGGUGCUGGCUGUUGGCAGGAGGCCUCAGCUCACAAUGCAGGCUUUCAUAGGACUACGUGAGUGUCCUUUCAACAUGGCAGCAGGCCUUCCCUAGAGCUAGUGAAGGAUGAGAAAACGACAAAUCGCAAUGUCUUUUAUGACCUAGGCUGGGAAGUUAUACUCCAUCAUUUAUGCAAUAUCCUGUUAUCACACAGGUCAUCCCUAUUCAGUGUAGGUUGGUACUACACAAGGACAUGAAUAUCAGGAGGAAGAGAAUCUCUGGAGGCCAUCUUGGAGCCCAUAGUCCGCCUUCUGCCCCCUAAUGAUUCACGUCUUCGUCUGUUCCUGCUCUCUAAGAGCCAGGAGGCAGACUUCCCUUGAGCUUUCUUGCAGCUAAAGUAGAGCAUCAUUAGCAGUAAAAAUUAAGAUAUCAUCACAAAGGCCAGGCACAGUGGCUCACCAUCUUCCCACUUUUUCUCAUUGCUUUAUUAUGCUUGCAUAACUGUUCUAACAAAACAAAUCUCACAAUUCUCUAGAUAAGCCUUAUUCUUACCCAGCUUUGGCUCAUCCUUCAUCUCUACAUCUUUUUUUUUUUUUUCUUUUGAAACGGAGUUUUGCUCUUGUUGCCCAGGCUGGAAUGCAAUGGUGCUAUCUCAGCUCACCGCAACCUCUGCCUCCUGGGUUCAAGCGAUUCUCCUGCCUCAGCCUCCCAAGUAGCUGGGAUUACAGGGAUGCACCACCACACCCAGCUAAUUUUUGUAUUUUUAGUAGAGAUGGGGUUUCUCCACGUUGGUCAGGCUGGUCUUGAACUCCCGACCACAGGUGAUCUGCCUGCCUCAGCCUCCCAAAGGGCAUCUCUACAUCUCUACAUAAAAUUCCUUCCCGCCACAUUUCUGCUUAUCAAAAUCCAAUCCAACUUCUAUGGCAUGGCCCAAAUGAUACCUCCUCCUUAAUGUCUUCAUUGAUUACCACAGUUCACUGUAAACCUGAUCUUUUUUUUUUUUUUUUUUUUUUUUUGGAGACAGAGUCUGUCUCUCCAUCGCCCAGGCUGGAGUGCACUGGCGCAAUCUCAGCUCACUCCAUCCUCCAUCUCCUGGGUUCAAGUGAUUCUCCUGCCUCAGCCUCCCAAGUAGCUGGGACUACAGGUGCAUGCCACCACACCCGGCUAAUUUUUGUAUUUUUUAGUAGAAACAGGGUUUCACCAGUCUGGUCUUGAACUCCUAACCUCAGGUGAUCCACCCACCUCAGCCUCCCACAGUGCUGGGAUUACAGGCAUGAGCCUCUGCACCCGGCCAACCCUGAUUUUUUUUUUUUUUUUGAGACAUAGUCUUGCUCUGUUGCCCAGGCUGGAGUGCAGUGGCACGAUCUCGGCUCACUGCAAGCCCCGCCACCCAGGUUCACGCCAUUCUCCUGCCUCAGCCUCCCGAGUAGCUGGGACUACAGGCGCCUGCCACCACGCCCGGCUAACUUUUUUUUGUAUAUUUAGUAGAGACGGGGUUUCACUGUGUUAGCCAGGAUGGUCUUGAUCUCCUGACCUCGUGAUCCGCCCGCCUCGGCCUCCCAAAGUGCUGGGAUUACAGGCGUGAGCCACCAUGCCUGGCCCUUUUUUUUUUUUUUUUGAGACAGGGUCUGGCUCAGUCACCCAAGGUGGAGUGCAGUGACGCAAUCAUGGCUCACUACAACCUCCACCUCCCCGGCUCAAGCAGUCCUCCCACCUCAGCCACUCAAGUAGCUGGGACUGCAGGUCCACACCACUAUACCUGGCUAAUUUUGUAUUUUUUGAAGAGGCAGGGUUUUACAACGUUGCCCAAGCUGGUCUGAAACUCCUGAGCUCAAGUGAUCCGCCCCCCUCAGCCUCCUAAAGUGCUGGGAUUAUGGUGUGAGCCACCUUGCCCAGCCUUAUGUCACUCUCAGUGGCAUUUCUCGUACUUCCUGGUCCUAAGAUUCUUGGUGUACACGUUGUAUAAUCCCAACUAGAUAUGAGAGCUAUCAGAUUAAGACUUUGCAUCUUUACAUCCCCCAGUACCUUUCAGAGUGUGAGUGCACACACACCAUUUGCUAAGGAAUGAUUGCAGUGACAAUACCAAGUUUAGGAUCCCUUAAAAUACCUAUAUCUUGGGCAGAGGUUGCAUUGAGCUGAGAUCAUGCCGCUACACUCAGCCUGGGUGACAGAGCGAGACUCCAUCUUCAAAAAAAAAAACAGUCCGGGUGUGGUGGCUCACGUCUGUAAUCCCAGCACAUUGGUAGGCCAAGGUGGGUGGAUCACAAGGUCAGGAGUUCAAGACCAGCCUGGCCAACUUGGUGAAACCCUGUCUCUACUAAAAAUACGAAAAAAAAUUAGCCGGGCAUGGCGGCGGGGCACCUGUAAUCCCAGCUACUCAGGAGGCUGAGGCAGAGAAUUGCUUGAACCUGGGAGACGGAGGUUGCAGUGAGCCGAGAUCACGCUACUGCACUCCAGCCUGGGCGAUAGAGCGAGAUUCUGUCUCAAAAAAAAAACUACAUCUUCAUAGUGGACAUAUUUGACAUCUACCCAACUUACAACCAUUCCUCCUAUAGAUCAUAGAUUAGGCCCCAACAGCCAUGUUUGUACCUCCUAAACCCCACCACCUUGGAAUAGAGACUUACUUCUCAAAGUGUGAUGCCACAUUCCUCGUGGGGUCAAAGAAGCAGAAAAAAUUGGUUUGCGGCCGGGCGCAGUGGCUCACGCCUGUAAUCCCAGCACUUUGGGAAGCCGAGGCAGACAGAUCACCUGAGGUCAGGAGUUCGAAACCAGCCUGGCCAACAUGGCAAAACCCCAUCUCUACUAAAAAUACAAAAAUUAGCUGGGUAUGGUGGAGGGAGCUACUCGGGAGGCUGAGGCAGGAGAAUUGCCUGAACCCAGGAGGCCAAGGUUGAAAUGAGCCGAGAUCGCACCGCUGCACUCCAGCCUGGGUGACAGUGCAAAACUGCAUCUCAAAAAAAAAAAAAAGUAGGUUUGCACAGAGCUCCAAGAGUGAACAGAUGAACAGAACAGAAAAAGCACUUUGCCAGCUCUCCCAGUCCUGCCUGUUUCUAUCCAUUCCCUAGGCUGAAUACAUUCCUGUCUGUGUUCCAUAUGUCUCCCCCCGCAACAUUAAAAUAAGUUUAUUAAGUCUCCCGCCCCAUAUUUUAAUCUAGCUUACAUUGUCUUCUGUUACUUGGAACCAAGAGUCUUUUUUUUUUUUUUUGAGACGGAGUCUUGCUCUUUCACCCAAACUGGAGUGCAGUGGCACAAUCUCGGCUCAAUACAAGCUCCGCCUCCUGGGUUCAUGCCAUUCUCCUGCCUCAGCCUCCUGAGUAGCUGGGACUACAGGCACCCGCCACCAUGCCCAGCUAAUUUUUGUUUGUUUGUUUGUUUUUAGUAGAGACAGGGUUUCACCGUGUUAGCCAGGAUGGUCUCGAUCUCCUGACCUUGUGAUCCACCCGCCUCGGCCUCCCAAAGUGCUGAGAUUACAGGCGUGAGCCACCGUGCCCAGCUGGAACCAAGAGUCUUAAUUAAACAAUCAUGAUGGAGACCAAGCCCACAUUUUUCAGGUCACCUAAUCCUGGCCUCUCCAUGAUCCAGUAACCUGAGUUACAGCUUUCCUACCAUAAGGACUUAGAGCUAAUUUCUUAAAGCCUGUAGUGGAGGCUGAGGCGAGAGGAUUGAUUGACACAAGGAGUUUGAGUCCAGCCUAGGCAACAUACCAAGACCCAGUCUCUUAAGUAAAUUUUUUAAAAAAUCAAUUUAGUUUCCAAAUGAGAUCAACAUAUUAACAUAUUAUAUUUGAUUGCUUUGCCUUUUUUUUUUUUUUUUGAGGUGGAGUUUCACUCUUGUUGCUCAGGCCGAAGUACAAUGGCACAAUCUCAGCUCACCACAACUUCCGCCUCCCAGGUUCAAGCGAUUCUUCUGCCUCAGCCUCCUGAGUAGCUGAGAUUACAGGCAUGCACCACCACACCUGGCUAAUUUUGUAUUUUUAUUACAGAUGGGUUUCUCCAUGUUGGCCAGGCUGAUCUCGAACUCCCGACCUCAGGUGAUCCGCCUGCCUCAGCCUCCCAAAGUGCUGGGAUUACAGGCAUGAGCCACCGCACCUGGCCCAGGUUUGAUUUCUUUAAAAGAAUUCUUCACAGGUGCUAUUUACCUUUUUAAACAUUAUUUUUCUAUUUUUGUUUUGUUUUUGAGACGGGGUCUCACCCUGUCACCCAAGCAAGAGUGCAGUGGUGCAGUCACAGCUUACUGCAGCCUCAAACCCCUGGGUUCAAGCAAUUCUCCCACUUCAGCCUCCCAAGUACCUGGAGGUACAGGUGUGCACCACCACGCCCAGCUAAUUUUUUUUUUUUUUUUUUUUUUAGAGACAAGGGUCUCACUAUGUUGCCCAGGCUGGUCUCAAACUCCUGGCCUCAAGCGAUCCUCCCACCUUGGCCUCCCAAAGUGGUUCCCACUUAUAAGUGAAAACAUUACAGGUGUGAGCCACCAUGUCUCACUAUUUACUUUUUAUUCAUCUCAUCAAGAGAAGAGAAAUUCAUAACAUUAACUACUUACGUUAGGGGCUACAGCCCCUACCGUAAUUUUCUAAUCAGGUAGUUUCUUCUAUGCUUGGUUAACUGGAAUUUGUGUGUGUGUGUGUGUGUGUGUGUGUGUGUGUGUGUGUGACAGAGUCUCACUCUGUCACCCAGGCUGGAGUGCAGUGACACGACCUCAGCUCACCGCAACUUCCUCCUCCCAGGUUCAAGCGAUUCUCCUGCCCCGGCUUCCCGAGUAGCUGGGAUUACGGCUGUGCACCACGACACCCAGCUACUUUUCUUUUGUAUUUUUAGUAGAGAUGGGGUUUCAACAUGUUGGCCAGUCUAGUCUCGAAAUCCUGACCUCAAGUGAUCCACCUGCCUGGCCUCCCAAAGUGCUGGGAUUAUAGGUGUGAGCCACCGCACCCAGCCUAACUGGAAUAUUUCUAUAAAGAAUCUUCCCUCAUCAACUCUUUGUUAUCCUGAAGUACCUCAACCUCAGCCUCCAGAGGAGCUGGAACUACUCAAAUAGAAAAGGCAGGAUCAAUUCUUUCCCUUUACUGACCAGUUUUCAGAAUGAGUUGGUUUCCUGGGGCAUCCUCUAGAGGUCAACAAUGAAUUCUUUUUAGUAUUAUCAUGAACUGGUGGCUUUUUUUUUUUUUUUUUGAGACGGUCUCACUCUGUUGCCCAGGCUGGAGUGCAGUGGUGCGAUCUCGGCUCACUGCAACCUCCGCCUUCUGGGUUCAAGCGAUUCUCCUGCCUCAGCCUCCUGAGUAACUGGGACUACAGGCAAGUGCCACCACGCCCAGCUAAUUUUUUCUAUUUUAGCAGAGAGGAGGUUUCACCAUGUUGCCCAGGGUGGUCUCGAACUCCUGAGCUCAUAGAAUCCACCCACUUUGGCUUCUCAAAGUGCUGGGAUUACAGGCGUGCGCCACCAUGCCUGGUGUUUUUUUUUUUUUUUUUUUUUUUUUUGAGACGGAGUCUCACACUGUUGCCGGGGCUGGUGUGCACUGGCGUGAUCUCGGCUCGCCACAACCUCCACCUCCCGGGUUCAAGCGAUUCUCCUUCCUCAGCCCCCUGAGUAGCUGGGACUACAGGCGCGUGCCACCACGUCUAGCUUAUUUUUGUUUUGUUUUGUUUUGUUUUUUUGAGGCAGAGUCUCUGUCGCCCAGGCUGGAGUGCAGUGACGCUAUGUCGGCUCACUGCAAGCUCCGCCUCCCAGGUUCACGCCAUUCUCCUGCCUCAGCCUCCCGAGUAGCUGGGACUACAGGCUACCUGCCACUAUGCCUGGCUAAUUUUUUUUUUUUUUUUUUUUUUUUUUUUAGUAGAGUCGGGGUUUCACCGUGUUAGCCAGGAUGGUCUCAAUCUCCUGACCUGGUGAUCCGCCCACCUCAGCCUCCUAAAGUGCUGGGAUUACAGGCAUGAGCCACCGCACCCGGACUGUAUUUUUUUUUUUAGUAGAGACGGGGUUUCACUAUGUUGGCCAGGCUGGUCUCAAACUCCUGACCUCGUGAUCCACCUGCCUUGGCCUCCCAAAGCACUGGGAUUACAGGCGUGAGCCACCGCGCCUGGCCAACUCAUGGAUUUUAAAAGCCUAUUUGAUGAGUUUCAGUCCACUGGAGUCAGGUCUUUUUUUUUUUUUUUUUGGAAGUGCUGUGAUCGUGACUCACUGCAACCUCUGCCUCCCAGGUUCAAGCGAUUCUCCUGCCUCAGCCUCCCGAGUAGCUGGGACUACAGGCGCGUACCACCAUGGCCAGCUAAUUUUUUUGUAUUUUUAGUAGAGACGGGGUUUCCCCAUGUUGGCCAGGAUGGUGUCGAUCUCCUGACAUAAUCCACCUGCCCCGGCCUCCCAAAGUGCUGGGAUUACAGGCAUGAGCCACCACCCAGCCCAAAGAUUCUAUAUUAUAUAUACAGUUUUCCACUUUUUUUUUCCUCUUAGCAAAACAUCAUGGAGUUCACUCCAUAGCAGUAUAGAGAUACUCAUUUCUAUUCACAGCUGCAUAGCACUCCAAUGUAGAUAUACCUUGGUUUAUUGCCAAUGUUCUGUAGAUGGACAUUGUCUGAGUUAUUUCCAGUCUUUUGCUAUUUACACAGUGGGCUAUAAUGACUAGCCUUGGACAUAUAUCUUUAUUUUUGCCAAUGUUAUCUUUGGCUUAGACUACUAGAAAUGGAAUUGCUGGGUCAAAAAACACAUGCAUAUGUCAUUUUGUAGGACAGAAUCAAAUUCCCCUCCUGAAGAGGCAGCUGCUAUAAUGGUGCUUCCAGUGGUUCCUACUUCUGGGUAAAUUGCCCCUUGACUGCAAUUUACAGAAGUGAUGGGAGUGGAUGCAGAGGCUCCUGCCUGUAAUCCUAGCACUUUGGGAGGCUGAGCCAGGAGGAUCACUUGAGCCCAGCAGUCUGAGACUAACAUAGGCAACACAGUGAGACCGCAUCUCUACUAAAAAUCAUGAAAGUUAGCCAGGCAUGGUAGCGUGUGCCUCUGGUCCCAGCAACUCAGGAGGCUGAGGUGGGAGGAUUGCUUGAGCCCAGGAGUUUGAGGCUGCAGUGAGACAUUCUACUCCACUCUACUCCAACCUGGGCGAUAGAGCAUGCCCUUGUCUUAAAAAAAAAAAAAAAAAAAAAAAACUGCUGGGAUGUCACUUUCAAGAUUAAGUACCAAAGGACUGUGACUUCUGUUUUGCUCUCAUACAUUCUCUGUCUGAGAGCUGGGAGCUUGUCUUUAAGUAGAAACCCACCCAUCCCCAGGGAGAAGGCAGGAGGGAAAAGGAGGAGAGGUCACAGACAAGCCCCCUGACUCUGUUGAUCUUCACUGCAGUAGCUUCUCAUUACAAGCAGGCAUCUGGCCAUUGUAGACCAUUAUAACUGUAGUUCUAGAAGUAAUAAUAGCAGAUUUAUUGUACAGAAGUGUCCACGGGCUCACAAUUCUAAGGACAUCAUCAUGACAGCAAGUAGGAAAAAAAAUUAAAGUAAUUCUUUCACCAAUUACCAGUUUAUCUCUUCUCCAAUUCCUUUGGAUACGCCUCCUGCAAGAAGCCGAUUUCCAGCUGUAUGUGAUAAUGAAAGGGUUUUUCUUUCUUAUGUUAAAUACAAGCGAAGUGAUUAACUGGAAGAUAGCGUCUGAUUGCGAGGAAAUCAGUGAUUCAGAUGGUGUGGGAAUGGCACCUGGGGAUGGGGGAGGCAGGACGGAGAUGGAGGAAGCUGGUGCAGCCUAGCCUGCCUUGUGCCAAGGACACCCAAGGGCAGAGGGACUGAGCUCUGGGGGAGGACAGAUUUGACAUAACUGGUCCAGCCUCACAGUUUACAGGUCCUGGAGGGUGAGGAAAGUGGGAGCUGGCUGCGGAUGCAGGACAAGAACCCAGGGCUUCCCUUCAUUUUGCCUGCCCUGCCACUUCCUCCCGCCACUUCCACCCUUCCUACCCCUCCACCUCCCUUGUGCCUUUCACUGCCUUUUACAGCAUUUACAUUACACUUCAGUAAAAAGUUGUGGUUUUGGCUGGUUUUUUUUUUUUUUAAAUAAAAACAGCACUGAAGAAGUAGAAGGAAGAUAUUCAGGGUUUUUAUUUUUAUUUUUUGAGUCUGGGUCUCGCUCUGUCACCCAGGCUGGAGUACAGUGGUGAGAUCAUAGCUUACUGUAGCCUCGACCUCCCGGGCUCAAAGAUCCUCACACCUCAGCCUUCCAAGUAGUUGGGACUACAGGCAUAUAUCAUCAUGCCUGGCUAAAUUAACUAUUUUAUUUUAAGAGAUGUGGUCUAGCUAUGUUACCCAGGCUGGUCUCGAACUCCUGGCUUCUAGCAAUCCUCCCACCUCAGUCUCCUGAAUCACUGGGAUUACAGGCUGGGGCCAUCAUGCCCAGCUCUAGGUUUUUAAAAUGUAGGCAAGGAGGUCAGCAUUUACACAAAAGCAGGGUUUGAUCUUAGGAAGCUUAAUAAAGAGAGGGGUCUAAUCAAGGUUUCCUGUAGGAUCUGGGCUUUAAGUUAGGCCUUAAAGAACGAAGAAUGUUUGUGGGUGUAGUAAGCAAUGACUUGGAGCAGAGCCCUCUAGCCAUUGGGCUCACCCUCACAGGCAGGCGCCACUGACCCUAGGGGGGUGUAGGCAGCUGGAGGAAGUACUGUGUGUCCCCCAUUCCAGCGAUGGUGGCCCCUCUCAGAGUCAAUACCCUUCCUUCCAAGAGACUGAACAUACAACUGGACAAUGGCCAGGCCACAUAUGACAAUAGACUCUGGCCAGAAACCCAUGACCAGCCUGGGAAGCCAAGGAAGCCAAACCACAGCCUCAGCAGCAAUCGGACCCAGAACAGUCUGAACUUAGUGGCUGCCAGCUUCUUCCCAAUCCCCAGCCACCACACCCCCUCUUCCAACUCCAGACCAACCAGAGAAAGCCAAAUAUACCCCCCCAACCAACCAAAGAUGCCCCUCCAGUUAGUCCGCUCUGUCCCCAUGCCAACAAUCUCCAAUCACAGCACACCCAGAGCCUUCCCUUUUUUUCCACUAUAACAUUUCACAGUCCCUGCCUGCCUUUGACCCCUGCCAAAUACAAGCAAUCAUGGCUGACUCCUUUGCAAACUUUGACCAAAUGGCCUCUCUGCUCUUGUUUAGGUGGUUUUUAUUUCCACAUCUCCAACAGGGAGUCUGGAAACAAACUGACAAUACUCGUGAAAUCAACACCCAGAUGAGGUAGACCAGCACUCCAGGAUGCCCCUCCCCAGUAUCCCUCCCCUGUUAACUGUUCCCCUGGCUUCUAACACCAUGGAUCAGUUUUGCUUAUUUCUGUACUUUUUGUAGGAAGAGAAUCAUACAAUGAAUUCUCUCUUGAUGAUGAGGACUCUGACCUCUUUUGCUUGACCUCAUGUCUGUGAAAUUUAUCCAUGUUGCUGUGCAUAGCGAUAUUUUCAUUCAUAUUCGUUGCUGUGCAGUAGUAUUCGACCCUGUGACUUCACUGUAGCUUCAACUGUGGAUGGACAUUUGGGUUGGUGGAUGGACAUUUGGGUUGUUUCAGGUUUGGGGCUACAGUCAGCGUGUGGUUAGAAACAUUCUUGCCAAUGUCUCGGUGGACAUAGCUUUCUGUGGUGUACAUACCCAGGAGUGGAACUGCUGGAUCAGUUUAUACGUAUGUUCGGCUUUUGGUAGAUACUGCCAGUUUUCCAACAGGGUCACACCAGCUUGGUCCAUUCAGGUUACAAUGAAACACCUUAGCCUGGGUAAUUUGUAAACAACAAAAAAUUAUUUCUCACAGUUCUAGAGGCUGGGAAGUCCAAGAUCAAGGUGCCAGCAGAUCCAGUGUCCAGGGCGGGCUCUCUGCUUCAGAGAUACGGUGCCUUCUCACUGCAUCCACACAUGGUAGAAGGGACAGAAGGGCUCCCUCAAGCCUGUUUUAUAAGGUGCUAACCCCAUUCAUGAUCUCCACCCUCAUGACCUAACCACCUCCCACAGGCCCCACAUCUUUAUUAUUUUUUUGAGAUGGAGUCUCGCUCUGUCACCCAGGCUGGAGUGCAGUGGCACGAUCUCGGCUCACUGAAAUCUCCACCUACUGGGUUCAAGCUAUUCUCCUGUCUCAGCCUCCCGAGUGGCUGAAAUUACAGAUGUACGCCAUCACACCUGGCUAAUUUUUGUAUUUUUAGUACAGAUGGGGUUUCACCAUGUUGGCCAGGCUGAUCUCAGACUCCUGGCUUCAAGUGAUCUGCCCCCUGCCAGCAUCCCAAAGUGCUGGGAUUACAGUCAUGAGCCACCAUACCCAGCCCCAAAGGCCCCACCUCUUAAUGCCAUUGCUUUGGGGGUUAGGAUUCAACAUAUGAAUUCAAAGGGUACACCUACAUUCACAACACAGCACUGACUUAGAUUCCCUGCAAAACCCAUGAGAGUUUCAUUUCCUCCAUAUUUUCAUCAGCAUUUCAUCUUGUCAGAUUUACUCUCUAUAGGUUCUAAGUAUUAUUCCCCCUCUGCUGAUUUACUUAUUAUAAACAGUACAUAACUGAUCAGAUAAACACUUGUCCCUUUGCCACCCCUAAUGCCUGCCCCCACUUCAUAUUCCAGGAACACUCCAUUAAACCACCCCCUACUGUACUGGUGGGUGGUGGGAGGGGGCUCAUCGGGUGGGGUCUUUGCCGUAUUAUUCUGUGUCACUGAGGCCUAUCACAGUGCUCUGCACAUGUAGGUGCAAAUAUCUGUUGUAUGAUUACAUAAAAGAAUGAUGUGAAAGCCUAUUUGUCUGUACCACAAUCAUGAACGUCCCCAACCACUUGAAGGCACUCAUAGUGUCUUAAUCAUCUUAGGCCUUCGAUCUGGCAUAGGUAACUCCUUUAAUAAACAAUGUCUGCUAAACCAAAUGGCUUCCUGAGGCCUGGCAUUUUAGGCUGUGUCCCCUGCCCCACCUCGCCCAGCCUGGGGCAUUGAGCCUGGCUGGGCACACACGUGAUAGUUGUAAUCAUAUUGUCAUAACAUCCCUGAGACUACAUUAAUUACAUAUUGAGUGUUAUAGUACUAUUAUAGCAGGUGGCAGAUGUUGGCACACUGGGCAGAGAUGUGUUGGUGUGAAAAACCUCUAUGUACUUUAAAGACAGGGUCUCCCUCUGUUGCCUAGGCUGAAGUGCAGUGGUGCCAUCAUAGCUCACUGUAACUUCAAACUCCUGUGCUCAAGUGAUCCUCCCACCUCAGCCUCCUGAGUAGCUGGAACUUGAGGCACAUACCACCACACCCAGCUAAUUUUUAAAUUUUUUGUAGAGAUAGGGUCUAGCUGUUACCUACACUGGUUUUGAACUCCUGGCCUCAAGCAGUCCUUCUGCCUUGGUCUCCCAAAGUGCUGGGAUUAUAGGUAUGAUCCACCACCUCCAGCCAAAAUCUCACUUUAAGUGGGGUCCCUAACUCCAGACAUGUGAUAAGCUGUGGUUCACAGGCAUAAAGAACAUCCAGCCUGGGGCCCCGGGGUCAGAGUUUUCCCUCGCAUUGUCCCCUGGGUCCUUCAUCCCUCCUAAUCUUGCAAACCAGCUGUCAAUUGGGUUGAGAUGGUAUCUCUUUCAUAGGGUCAUUAUGAGGAUUAAAUGACUUAAUAUAUGUAAAGCACUUAGCUUAAUGCCUGGCAGACAGUAAGGUAUGGAGUAAGUUGUAACCCUUAUUAUUAUUGCUGUUGCUGUUAGCAACAGAGUGAGGAAUGCUAGGAGUGACCAUGCCCAGCACCGAAUGAGGCCUUCAUAGCCUUGGGCUAAAAGAAAAAGAGCAGAAAGGUGAACACAGGGGAAGGCCUCAAUUUCAACACAGAUGCAUUAGACCAAGGACUCUGAACUCACUUUCCCUGGAGGUGGGGGUGCUAUCAGCUGCUUAAUGGAGCAUCAUGGAAAAUGUGGGACUCAAGGCCUGAAGGACUCCAUUCCUAAGAGAUGGGAGCAGGAGACAUGCUACGGAGUUUGAAUCUUGCCUAGCACAGGGAUUUCUGCCUGCUGGAAGGGCUCUGUCAGGGCCUAGUGGAAGCCCCUGCCUCAGUGGGGCAAACUGCCACUGGACACACCCAUCAUUCAUCAUCACCUCUCUGGGACAGUAGUAGCAGCCAGGCACCUCCAAAGAGCUUGACAACAGAGGAACCCGCUUCGGCCCCUCCUCUGAAGACAGGAUCCUGCGCUACUCCAACUCUGAACUGGUUCAAGGUGAGAGACGUCAUCCACAGAGGCCACAAAACCAAGAGGUGGAUGCCUCAUUGUUACUUCAUGCUGUCUGGGAGCAAAGAGAGGGCCUUAGGCACAAAAUCCUCCAGACCCGCAUCUGCCCCUUGGCUUUCUCAACCCUUCACUCUCCAACUUCUAUAAAUAACCUGUACAGUGGCCAGGCACCGUGGUUCACACCUGUAAUCCCAGCAUUUUGGGAGGCCAAGGCGGGCGGAUCACUUGAGGUCAGGAGUUCGAGACCAGCCUGGCCAACAUGGUGAAACCCCAUCUCUAACAAAAAUACGAAAAUUAGCCAGGUGUGGUGGCGGGCAUCUGUAAUCCCAGCUACUUGAGAGGCUGAAGCAGGAGAAUCACUUGAACCUGGGAGGCGGAGGUUGCAGUGAGCCGAAGUUGCACCACUGCACUCCAGCCUGGGCAACAGAGCAACACUCUGUCUCAAAAGAAAAGAACCUCUGCAGAAUGAGGGGAAGCAGGGAAGCAGGCAGGGGUGAACAAGAUGGCCAUGAAUUGAUAAUUACUGAAGUUGGGUGAUGGGCUCAUGGGGAUUUGUUAUUCUACUCUCUCUACUUUUUUGUGUUUGAAAGUUCAUAAUAAAUAAUGUUGCUCAAAGGAAGCUAUUAAUAGUUUGAGGCCAGGCAGGGUAAAGAGCAUCUCCUAGAUUUUUUUUUUUUUUUUUUUUUUUUUUUUUUUUUUUUUUUUUUAGAGAUAGGGUCUUGCUUUGUUGCCCAGGCUUGUCUCAAACUCCUGGCUUCAAGGGAUCCUCCCACCUCGGCUUCCCAAAAUGCUGGGAUUACAGGCACAAGCCACCACAUCCAACCUCCCUCAUAUUUGACUAAGAAGUCUCAUAAAUCUGAGAACACCUAGCAAGGAAUUAAGGCGAGGGUGUGGCACUGUUCUGGCUUCAGUCUAUCACCAGGCAGAGUCCACGCAUUCUUCCCAGGGAGAAAGAAGCAGUGACAGCUCUUGGGCUUUGAGGGAAAUGAUUCAGCGGGAGAAAGAAGGUGGAGAGGGGCUAAUAUGCAGAUACCAUUGCUGCAGGUGGCUCUGCCCCUAAGCACUGAGGAGGGCACUGGUCCCUCUGGCCCCACCCAGCCUUCACCCCAAGGUGAAGUACGCUUUCUCAGGUCCCCAAGGAUGGGUGGCCAGGUCCCCCACUGGGAGUGGAGGUCUCACUCCCUUCCUUGGGUUCUGACCUCCACAUUAUCUGGCUGUGAGGGUGACCUGCCUGGCUUUCCCCACCAAGUGCAGCUCCCCGCAGCUGAAAGCCACACUCUCAACACAGGACUCCUGAGAUCUGACACUGGCCAAUUCACACCCUGCUUGAAGCUGGCAUUUGAGAGGCCUUCAGGUUGACAACAGCAGCAACAAGUUUGCUGUUCAAAGUAGGCCAAGUCACGGCUUUGAGCGGCAUCAUUUGAAAAGUGCUGGGAUCAGCCAGGCGCAGUGGCUCACUCCUGUAUCCCAGCACUUUGGGAAGCCAACGCAGGUGGAGCACUUGAGGUCAGGAGUUCAAGAACAGCCUGGCCAACAUGGAGAAACCCCGUCUCUACUAAAAAUACGAAAAUUAGUCGGGUGUGGUGGCAGGCCUCUGUAAUCCCAGCUACUCGGGAGGCUGAGGCAGGAGAAUUGCUUGAACCCGGGAGGCGGAGGUUGCAGUGAGCUGAGAUCAUGCCACUACACUCCAGCCUGGGCAACGGAGUAAGACUGUCUCAAAAAAAGAAAAAGGAAAAAAAAAAGUGGUGGGGUUUGGGUGCAGUGUCUCACAUCUGUAAUCCCAGCACUUUGGGAGGCUAAGGCAAGAUCUCAUGAGGCCAACCUGGGCAACAUAACAGCAUGACCUCAUCUCUAUAAAAAAUUUAAUUUGGCUGGGCGCGGUGGCUCACGCCUGUAAUCCCAGCACUUUGGGAGGCCGAGGCGGGCGGAUCACAAGGUCAGGAGAUCGAGACCAUCCUGGCUAACACAGUGAAACCCCGUCUCUACUAAAAGUGCAAAAAAAUUAGCCAGGCGUGGUGGCAGGCGCCUGUAGUCCCAGCUACUCUGGAGGCUGAGGCGGGAGAAUGGCCUGAACCCAGGAGGUGGAGGUCGCAGUGAGCUGAGAUCGCGCCACUGCACUCCAGCCUGGGUGACAGAGCAAGACUCCAUCUCAAAAAAAAAAAAGAAAAAAAAAUUUAAUUAGCCAGGCAUGGUGACAGGUACCUGAAGUCCUAGUUACUCAGAAGGCUGAGGCAGGAGGAUCGCUUAAGCCCGGGAGUUUAAGGAUACAGUGAGUUAUGAUUGCACCACUUCGCUCCAGGCUGGGUGAUUCUCUAAAAAAAAGAAAAAAGAAAAAGAUGGGAGGAUGGGAGGCGGGGCUAGGGGACUGGGAAGGUCCCUCAACCCUUUCUACAUGCCUUACCCAGGGUAUCUCCCAUCAUGGCUGGUUACUGUGCUAAAAUUAUAAUUUUUUUUCUUUGAGACAGAGUAUCACUCGGUCACCCAGGCUGGAGUGCAGUGGUGCGAUCUCAGCUCACUACAACCUCCGCCUCCUGGCGGGCUCAAGUGACUUAUCUUCCCACCUCAGCCUCCCAUGUAGCUGGGACUAUAGAUGGGCGCCGCCAUGCCCAGUUACUUUUUGUAUUUUUUACCUAGGCUGGUAGUGUGCUAACAUUCUACCACUUGGGCAACAGUCUUCGGGGCUACAUACUGCCUUUUUUUUUUUUUUUGAAACAGAAUACCACUCUGUCGCCCAGGCUGGAGCGCAGUGGCACAAUCUCGGCUCACUGCAACCUCCGCAUCC
rnacentral:lncRNA from 1 species